AGAAAAAAAGUUGAAAACGCCGGUGGUCGACGUUUCAGAUUCAUUUCCAAAAUUUCCCCCCAUUUCCCAAAUCUUCCCUUCUCCACCGUUCCCUCCCCCACCAACCAACCGACCGCCGCCUACAGACGAACUGCCGCCUACCAACACCGUCCCUCGCCCAACUCUCUCUCUCUCGAACCCAGCAGACUGAGCGUCGCCCACGAGCACUGCGGAUCUCGAUCUCUGACCUGGUCUGACAAGGAGCACCAGAGAGGACCACGAGCACCGCCGAUCUCUGGUCAGUCUCCCUAUUUCUCUCUCUCUCUCUCUCUCUCUCUCUCUCUCUCUCUCUCUCUCUCUCUCUCUCUCUCUCUCUCUCUCUCCGACUCUCUCUCUCUUUCACUCGGAUCCAGCAGACCAACGCAGAUCUCUGACGAGGAGCGCCAGAGCCGGCCUUUUUCUGGACUGCAGAUCUACAAUCAGUGCUAUUCGAUCCCCCUCCUUGUGCGACACCUCCUCUCCCAGUGUCUACAAAAUCUCAGACUGAUUUGGAUGGGGUUGCAAGCUUGUUAAUUUUAUCUAUCAGGGAUUCGGGGUCACUUAGAAGGUUUGAAGCUUAUCUUGUUUUUUAAGUGCAUGAGUGAGGCAACAAUUGAUUCUCACCCAACCAAAACAAAGCACCCAAAGAUCAUGGAAGCCGCUGAAACUGUUGAUGAUAAGAUCAUGGAAGUUGUUGAAACUCUUGACGAUAAGAUCAAAGAAGUUGAUGAAGAGAAGGAUGCAAGAGGAGUUAGAAUAAGAUGAACUUCAUGUACUAAAGAUAUAGAUUGUAUUUUCAAACAUUAUGUAAUCUCUUUUUAAUUGUGUAUGUACAACAGCUUUUUUUAACAA